GUCCUACGGGUGGCAGCAGUGGGGAAUCUUGGACAAUGGGCGCAAGCCUGAUCCAGCCAUGCCGCGUGAGUGAUGAAGGCCCUAGGGUUGUAAAACUCUUUCGUGGGGGACGAUAAUGACGGUACCCCAAGAAGAAGCUCCGGCUAACUUCGUGCCAGCAGCCGCGGUAAUACGAAGGGGGCUAGCGUUGUUCGGAUUUACUGGGCGUAAAGCGCGUGUAGGCGGGCUGGAAAGUUGGGGGUGAAAUCCCGAGGCUCAACCUCGGAACUGCCUCCAAAACUUCCAGCCUGGACUCAAGCAGAGGCAAGUGGAAUUGCGAGUGUAGAGGUGAAAUUCGUAGAUAUUCGCAGGAACACCAGUGGCGAAGGCGACUUGCUGGGCUUGUAGUGACGCUGAGACGCGAAAGCGUGGGGAGCAAACAGGAUUAGAUACCCCGGUAGUC
rnacentral:rRNA from 1 species